rnacentral:misc_RNA from 1 species
GAUGAGAACGCAGCGAAAUGCGAUAAGUAGUGUGAAUUGCAGAAUUCAGUGAAUCAUCGAAUCUUUGAACGCACAUUGCGCCCGCCAGUAUUCUGGCGGGCAUGCCUGUUCGAGCGUCAUUACAACCCUCAGGCCCCCGGGCCUGGCGUUGGGGAUCGGCGGAAGCCCCCUGCGGGCACAACGCCGUCCCCCAAAUACAGUGGCGGUCCCGCCGCAGCUUCCAUUGCGUAGUAGCUAACACCUCGCAACUGGAGAGCGGCGCGGCCACGCCGUAAAACACCCAACUUCUGAAUGUUGACCUCGAAUCAGGUAGGAAUACCCGCUGAACUUAAGCAUAUCAAUAAGCGGAGGA